rnacentral:rRNA from 1 species
UACUCCUACGGGAGGCAGCAGUGGGGAAUAUUGCGCAAUGGGGGGAACCCUGACGCAGCCAUGCCGCGUGAAUGAAGAAGGCCUUCGGGUUGUAAAGUUCUUUCGGUAUUGAGGAAGGUUGAUGUGUUAAUAGCACAUCAAAUUGACGUUAAAUACAGAAGAAGCACCGGCUAACUCCGUGCCAGCAGCCGCGGUAAUACGGAGGGUGCGAGCGUUAAUCGGAAUAACUGGGCGUAAAGGGCACGCAGGCGGUUAUUUAAGUGAGGUGCGAAAGCCCUGGGCUUAACCUAGGAAUUGCAUUUCAGACUGGGUAACUAGAGUACUUUAGGGAGGGGUAGAAUUCCACGUGUAGCGGUGAAAUGCGUAGAGAUGUGGAGGAAUACCGAAGGCGAAGGCAGCCCCUUGGGAAUGUACUGACGCUCAUGUGCGAAAGCGUGGGGAGCAAACAGGAUUAGAUACCCUGGUAGUCCACGCUGUAAACGCUGUCGAUUUGGGGGUUGGGGUUUAACUCUGGCGCCCGUAGCUAACGUGAUAAAUCGACCGCCUGGGGAGUACGGCCGCAAGGUUAAAACUCAAAUGAAUUGACGGA